rnacentral:lncRNA from 1 species
GAUAAAUGUACAAAUGACUGGAAGACUUGCAAAUGGUCAGUGCAUACGACCAUCGACGAUAGCCCUGCAAGUAUAGUGCCGCUGUUACUGUCGAGUUGUAUGUAGCUUGUUUUGCGGGCCGAAGUUCGUCUACUGAACAGUUGCCUUCUCCGAAAUUCAUGGAAUGCCUGCCUGCCACAGUCCUUGACUACUACGUGACAUCUGGUGAAGACGCUGCCGACACCACGGCGCUGGCGACGCAAUACAGGCGCUCCUUCAAGGUGUCCGGGCUUCCCGAGAACGAUGCCAAUCCGAAGCCACCCUAUCCCGGCAUCCCAUGCAUUCAACGGCGUCGGAGAUCCAGUUCUUCCUCUAGGACAAAAAGAUAACCGCACAGCUCUCAAGCGCUUCGUGGAACACCGCGCAGCCACGCCGUCUCGAGACUGCGCCUUCAUCACCGGCGGCCAGGAGGAGAGAGAGACGGUGGUUGGUGGCUGCCGACUGGCACAAAGGGAGUCGACGACGAACGGAAAAAGCGAUGCAGCGCCAAGCCAGACAGGGAGGAGAGAAUGGCGGCGAGGGUCUGGGCCGGUCUGGCACCUCGGGGCGGCGAGCGUGUGUGUGUGUGUGUAUGUGUGUGCGUGCAGCUACAGCGACGGGGCCAGCAUCCCAGACGGCCUGACCUCGGCGCCUUGGACGCCUUCCCAGAAGACGGCAAUGGCGGCACGAACGGGUUAAAAUAGGACCGACGGCGCGGGGUGCCCACGCCGCCGCCGCCGCCGACGACGACGACCGGAGCAGAGAGUGAGACGGCAAGCGACGGCACCACAGCGAUGAAGGGCAAGAAGAACAAGAAUAAUAUUGAGAUGACGGCGCAGUGGCCAUCUUCUUCGCACAAGGUGGCUCUGGCGAGCAGCACAUAUAGCAAGGAGUCUCUGGGCAUUAUUAAAAGUGAACCGCAUGUGUCGCCUGACCACGCUCUUGCGCACUCUUGAGGACGUACAAGACGUCUCCAAGUUCCGUUUCAUGUUCGUAUGAGCAGCGCAGGAAGAAUGCGUUAAAAAUGUAACUCGGGUGGGUUUUACACAAGAAGUGCGAAUGGCCGCUUCCGUUAUAAGCUUUGCGAGAGAUCGCUGCCAUUGCUUUCGAUGACUAGUAGCCGGAGGUAACCUGCCACUUCGAUCGCAUGAUCACCGCCGCCUUUGGUCAACGCGUGGUCACUCUACAUUUCCGGACACUGCGCGUGCCAUCAUAAUACAGCAGCGGCAUAUCUCAAAUC